GUGCUGAAGACACACACACUCUCACUUACAGACGCAUACACACUAGCUAACAGACACACACAUUUACUGACAGGGACACACUCAGCGACAGACAUACAUACACACUCACACACUCACUUACAAAACAUACACUCUCAUUGACAAACACACACUCACUAACAGACAUCAAACAGACUCACUAAGACACACACACUCAGUAAGACACACACUCACACUCACUCUCACACUCACACUCACACUCACUCUCACACUCACUCUCACACUCACACUCACUCUCACACUCACUCUCACACUCACUCUCACACUCACACUCACUCUAACACUCACACUAACACUAACACUCUAACACUCACUCUAACACUAACACUCACUCUAACACUCACUCUAACACUAACACUAACACUAACACUCACACUAACACUCACACUCACUCUAACACUUUUUUUU